rnacentral:rRNA from 1 species
CUACGUAGGGGGCGAGCGUUGUCCGGAAUGAUUGGGCGUAAAGGGCGCGUAGGCGGCCCGGUAAGUCUGGAGUGAAAGUCCUGUUUUUAAGAUGGGAAUUGCUUUGGAUACUGUCGGGCUUGAGUGCAAGAGAGGUAAGUGGAAUUCCCAGUGUAGCGGUGAAAUGCGUAGAGAUUGGGAGGAACACCAGUGGCGAAGGCGACUUACUGGACUGUAACUGACGCUGAGGCGCGAAAGUGUGGGGAGCAAACAGGAUUAGAUACCCUGGUAGUCCACACUGUAAACGAUGAAUGCUAGGUGUAGGGGGUAUCGACCCCUUCUGUGCCGCAGUCAACACAAUAAGCAUUCCGCCUGGGGAGUACGGCCGCAAGGUUGAAACUCAAAGGAAUUGACGGGG